AUUGAACGCUGGCGGCAGGCCUAACACAUGCAAGUCGAACGAGUGGCGGACGGGUGAGUAAUGUCUGUGAAACUGCCUGAUGGCGGGGGAUAACUCCUGGAACCGGUAGCUAAUCCCGCAUACCAUCGGAUGUGCCCAGAUGGGAUUAGCUAGUAGGUGGGGUAACGGCUCACAUCGGCGACGAUCCCUAGCUGGUCUGAGAGGAUGACCAGCCACACUGGAACUGAGACACGGUCCAGACUCCUACGGGAGGCAGCAGGGGGGAAUAUUGCACAAUGGGCGCAAGCCUGAUGCAGCCAGGCCGCGUGUAUGAAGAAGGCCUUCGGGUUGUAAAGUACUGUCAGCGGGGAGGCGGUACCCACAGAAGAAGCACCGGCUAACUCCGUGCCAGCAGCCGCGGUAAUAC
rnacentral:rRNA from 1 species